rnacentral:rRNA from 1 species
AGAGUUUGAUCAUGGCUCAGAGCGAACGUUAGCGGCGGGCUUAACACAUGCAAGUCGAACGAGAAUGAGGGGGCAACUCCUCUAGUAAAGUGGCGGACGGGUGCGUAACACGUGGACAAUCUACCUUCCGGCGGGGGACAACAGUUCGAAAGGACUGCUAAUACCGCGUACGUCGACGAGAGCUCCGGCUCUUGCCGAGAAAGAUGGCCUCUCCUUGGAAGCUGUCACCGGAAGAUGAGUCCGCGGCCCAUCAGGUAGUUGGUGAGGUAACGGCUCACCAAGCCAAAGACGGGUAGCUGGUCUGAGAGGAUGAUCAGCCACACUGGGACUGCGACACGGCCCAGACUCCUACGGGAGGCAGCAGUGGGGAAUAUUGGGCAAUGGGCGAAAGCCUGACCCAGCCACGCCGCGUGAGUGAUGAAGGCCUUCGGGUCGUAAAGCUCUGUGGGGAGGGACGAAAAAGCACGUCUCUAACAAAGGCGUGCCCUGACGGUACCUCCUUAGCAAGCACCGGCUAACCAUGUGCCAGCAGCCGCGGUAAUACAUGGGGUGCAAACGUUGCUCGGAAUUAUUGGGCGUAAAGCGCGCGUAGGCGGUCGCUUAAGUCGGAUGUGAAAUCCCUCGGCUUAACUGAGGAAGUGCAUCCGAGACUGAGUGGCUAGAGUACGAAAGAGGGUCGCGGAAUUCCCGGUGUAGAGGUGAAAUUCGUAGAUAUCGGGAGGAACACCGGCGGCGAAGGCGGCGACCUGGUUCGAGACUGACGCUGAGCGCGAAAGCGUGGGGAGCAAACAGGAUUAGAUACCCUAGUAGUCC